AGAGUUUGAUCCUGGCUCAGGAUGAACGCUGGCGGCGUGCUUAACACAUGCAAGUCGAGCGAAGCGAUUUCAAGGAAGUUUUCGGACGGAAUUGAAAUUGACUGAGCGGCGGACGGUGAGUAACGCGUGGGUAACCUGCCUCAUACAGGGGGAUAACAGUUGGAAACGACUGCUAAUACCCGCAUAAGCACACAGUGCCGCAUGGUACGGUGUGAAAAAACUCCGGUGGUAUGAGAUGGACCCGCGUCUGAUUAGGUAGUUGGUGAGGUAACGGCCCACCAAGCCGACGAUCAGUAGCCGACCUGAGAGGGUGACCGGCCACAUUGGGACUGAGACACGGCCCAAACUCCUACGGGAGGCAGCAGUGGGGAAUAUUGGACAAUGGGGGAAACCCUCGAUCCAGCGACGCCGCGUGAGUGAAGAAGUAUUUCGGUAUGUAAAGCUCUAUCAGCAGGGAAGAAAAUGACGGUACCUGACUAAGGAGCCCCGGCUAACUACGUGCCAGCCGCCGC
rnacentral:rRNA from 1 species